UCUCCGAGCAAUUCAGCGGCAAUGGAUCAGGGACCAGUUUCACCCUGACAAUCAGCAAUGUUCAGAAUGAGGAUGUCGCUGACUAUUACUGUCAGCAACGUUACAGCUGGCCUUCUACGUUCCGUAAAGGAACCAAGCUCAGACUGAGCCGUGAGAACUCUCAGCCCAAGAUGACCCUGCUGCCCCCGUACCCAGAGCAGGUCAAUGCCAAGGGCACUGCCACCCUGGUGUGCCUUGCCAAUCACUUCUAUCCCGAUGAGCUGGAGGUGCAGUGGAAGAAGGACGGUGCAGUCAUUUCGGACGGGGUUCAGACCAGCAACUACCUGCGAGCUUCGGACAGCACCUACAGUGUCAGCAGCCUGCUGACCCUCUCUGGGUCUGACUGGGAGUCCAACGCUCGCGUCUCCUGUGCCCUCACCCACGUGACCCUCCCCUCGCCCCUCAGCAAGAGCAUCAGGAGAUCAGAAUGUGUGUAGAGUGUUCAAGACAGUCCACAGAGGAGAGACAACUUUAAAUAGAACAGGACUGAGCUGGCAGGACA